rnacentral:rRNA from 1 species
GGGGAAUAUUGCACAAUGGGCGCAAGCCUGAUGCAGCGACGCCGCGUGAGGGAUGGAGGCCUUCGGGUUGUAAACCUCUUCCGCCCAUGGUCAAGCCGCAACUGUGGGUUGUGGUGAGGGUAGUGGGUAAAGAAGCGCCGGCUAACUACGUGCCAGCAGCCGCGGUAAUACGUAGGGCGCGAGCGUUGUCCGGAAUUAUUGGGCGUAAAGGGCUUGUAGGCGGUUGGUCGCGUCUGCCGUGAAAUUCUCUGGCUUAACUGGGGGCGUGCGGUGGGUACGGGCUGACUUGAGUGCGGUAGGGGAGACUGGAACUCCUGGUGUAGCGGUGGAAUGCGCAGAUAUCAGGAAGAACACCGGUGGCGAAGGCGGGUCUCUGGGCCGUUACUGACGCUGAGGAGCGAAAGCGUGGGGAGCGAACAGGAUUAGAUACCCUGGUAGUCCACGCUGUAAACGUUGGGCACUAGGUGUGGGGGCCACCCGUGGUUUCUGCGCCGUAGCUAACGCUUUAAGUGCCCCGCCUGGGGAGUACGGCCGCAAGGCUA